GUAAGUUUCAUUAUUGAAAUAGCAGCAGUCCAUUUGAUAGUUUCUCUUAUCUGUCAGUGUUUCUAAGUUGCAGAUAAAACACGGGAAAGGCGGAAGAAGGAAAUUCAAGAUGAUGAGCAAAACGAGAACAAGGGGAAAGCAGGAGCUAACGUUUCGACAAGAGCAGUUGUCUUCUUCAAGAUCUAUGCUGGGAGCAACCGGUGGCUCGAAAAGGAGGCUGGGGCAACUUGUUUCGGGCCUCAGUGGAUUCUCUGUUUGCUACAUGGCAACCACUGUCUAUUGGAUGCCAGAUCAGCUGUAUUUGUCUCUCUUGGGCAGUGAUACAUGCGCAGCGAUGUGCCCGACGAAGACCAGAAAAAAAGGAUCCAGAAUGUCUGAAAGCACCUUGCUCAGAAGCCGGGUGACAUGUGAAGGAAGUGAUUGUUUGUGCCGCAAGCUCUUUCGCAGACUGUGGCACUUGC